AUGCCACCUCAGGUUGCGGGCAGAAAAAAUCGCCGGCGACGCCAAUCUUCUCCGACAAGGUCUGCUGAAUCGACGGACAGGGUGAACCCCGAGGCUCCGGGUUUGACAAAGUGGCGGGGGAAGCCCGAUGCAGAGAACAGCAGGUCGUGUAGGGGCGAAUGCCCUGCUUUGAUAUCGCUCCAACGUGCGCCUGAGAACAGUUGA
rnacentral:rRNA from 1 species